rnacentral:rRNA from 1 species
CUGGCGGCGCACAUAAGACAUGCAAGUCGAACGAACUUAAUCUUUAGUUACUAUUAGAAGCGGUUAGUGGCGGACUGGUGAGUAACGCGUAAGCAAUCUGCCUAUCAGAGGGGGAACAACAGUGAGAAAUCACUGCUAAUACCGCAUAUGCUGUGAGUACGGCAUCGUACAAACAGGAAAGGAGCAAUCCGCUGAUAGAUGAGCUUGCGUCUGAUUAACUAGUUGGUGGGGUAACGGCCUACCAAGGUGAUGAUCAGUAGCCGGACUGAGAGGUUAAACGGCCACAUUGGGACUGAGAUACGGCCCAGACUCCUACGGGAGGCAGCAGUCGGGAAUAUUGCGCAAUGGAGGAAACUCUGACGCAAGUGACGCCGCGUGCAGGAUGAAGGUUUUCGGAUUGUAAACUGCUUUAGAUAGGGAAGAAACAAAUGACGGUACCUAUAGAAUAAGCUCCGGCUAACUACGUGCCAGCAGCCGC